GGUAGGUAUCUUCGGAUAUUGAGACCGGCGCACGGGUGCGUAACGCGUAUGCAAUCUACCUUUUACUAAGGGAUAGCCCAGAGAAAUUUGGAUUAAUACCUUAUAGUAUGUUUGAAUGGCAUCGUUUAAACAUUAAAGAUUUAUUGGUAAAAGAUGAGCAUGCGUCCCAUUAGUUAGUUGGCAAGGUAACGGCUUACCAAGACGAUGAUGGGUAGGGGUCCUGAGAGGGAGAUCCCCCACACUGGUACUGAGACACGGACCAGACUCCUACGGGAGGCAGCAGUGAGGAAUAUUGGUCAAUGGAGGCAACUCUGAACCAGCCAUGCCGCGUGCAGGAAGACGGUCCUAUGGAUUGUAAACUGCUUUUGUACAGGAAGAAAAAGUACCACGUGUGGUAUAUUGACGGUACUGUAAGAAUAAGGAUCGGCUAACUCCGUGCCAGCAGCCGCGGUAAUACGGAGGAUCCAAGCGUUAUCCGGAAUCAUUGGGUUUAAAGGGUCCGUAGGCGGCCUUAUAAGUCAGUGGUGAAAGUUUGCAGCUUAACUGUAAAAUUGCCAUUGAUACUGUAGGGCUUGAAUAAUUGUGAAGUAACUAGAAUAUGUAGUGUAGCGGUGAAAUGCUUAGAUAUUACAUGGAAUACCAAUUGCGAAGGCAGGUUACUAACAAUUUAUUG
rnacentral:rRNA from 1 species